UACAGAGGGGGCAAGCGUUGUUCGGAAUUACUGGGCGUAAAGGGCGCGUAGGCGGCCCGCUAAGUCGAACGUGAAAUCCCCGAGCUCAACUCGGGAACUGCGUCCGAUACUGGCGGGCUUGAAUCCGGGAGAGGGAUGCGGAAUUCCAGGUGUAGCGGUGAAAUGCGUAGAUAUCUGGAGGAACACCGGUGGCGAAGGCGGCGACCUGGGUAGAUACUGACGCUGAGGUGCGAAAGCGUGGGGAGCAAACAGG
rnacentral:rRNA from 1 species